AUGCAGCAGUUCGUUAAAGACGUCAGAGAGAUGAAGCUCCUGGAAGAAAAACUCAGCGAGCCUCAGAUGUCCAAGAAGGAGCAAAAAAAUGCAGAAAAGAAGUUGCAGAAAGAACGUGAGGAGAGGGAGAAACAGGAGAAGAAGGAUCGUAAGGAGAGGGAGAAACAGGAAAAGAAAGAACGUGAGGAGAGGGAGAAACAGGAGAAGAAGGAUCGUAAGGAGAGGGAGAAACAGGAAAAGAAAGAACGUGAGGAGAGGGAGAAACAGGAGAAGAAGGAUCGAAAGGAGAGGGAGAAACAAGAGAAGAAGGAUCGUAAGGAGAGGGAGAAAGUGGAAAAGAAGCAAAAUCCUUCCAGAUAUGAGGAGCUGGUCUCUAAACUUUGCUCAGUCCAAAGCCAGCUAGAAACUGAGAAGCAGACUGUCCUGGAAAGAGACGGUCUGAUCCACAAGCUGGCAGAAGAGAAGUGUUCCCUGCAAGAGGAGCUGGACCAGGCCAACCAGACUGUCCUGGAAAGAGACGGUCUGAUCCACAAGCUGGCAGAAGAGAAGUGUUCCCUGCAAGAGGAGCUGGACCAGGCCAACCAGACUGUCCUGGAAAGAGACGGUCUGAUCCACAAGCUGGCAGAAGAGAAGUGUUCCCUGCAAGAGGAGCUGGACCAGGCCAACCAGACUGUCCUGGAAAGAGACGGUCUGAUCCACAAGCUGGCAGAAGAGAAGUGUUCCCUGCAAGAGGAGCUGGACCAGGCCAACCAGACUGUCCUGGAAAGAGACGGUCUGAUCCACAAGCUGGCGGAAGAGAAGUGUUCCCUGCUAGAGGAGCUGGACCAGUCCAUCGCUGAAACUGAAGACGUCAGCAAGGAACUGGACCAACGCACUAAAAAAUGUGUGGAGUCAUUAAAUAUGCUAUCCAUUCUGCAAGCUGACGUGGACCAGGCCAACCAGACUGUCCUGGAAAGAGACGGUCUGAUCCACAAGCUGGCAGAAGAGAAGUGUUCCCUGCUAGAGGAGCUGGACCAGGCCAACCAGACUGUCCUGGAAAGAGACGGUCUGAUCCACAAGCUGGCGGAAGAGAAGUGUUCCCUGCUAGAGGAGCUGGACCAGGCCAACCAGACUGUCCUGGAAAGAGACGGUCUGAUCCACAAGCUGGCAGAAGAGAAUCGUUCCCUGCAAGAGGAGAUGGACCAGUCCAUCGCUGAAACUGAAGACGUCAGCAAGGAACUGGACCAACGCACUAAAAAAUGUGUGGAGUCAUUAAAUAUGCUAUCCAUUCUGCAAGCUGACGUGGACCAGGCCAACCAGACUGUCCUGCAAAAAGACGGUCUGAGCCAUAACCUGGUGGAGGAGAAGUCACCCCUGGAAGAGGAGCUGAAACUUGAGCAGCAGGCUAUAAAAGAAAGCCUAGAGAAGGUUCAGCCUCUUCCUCAUGAGCAAGAGGAACAGUUAACUCUGCUCAAGGACAGUAAUGAAGAGCUCUCUUUAAAGGUUUCUGAACAGCAGAACCCCAUCAACUCCCUGCCGGCUGAAAACGCAGUUCUCCAUGAACAAGUGAAGGAGAGCGAAGCCAGGCUCAGACAGAAGGAGGUCCAAAAGGAGGAGGACGCAACAUCUGAACUCCUCACAAAGGGGUCCUCUAGGAAGGAGCUGAAAAAGGCUAAGAGGCUGCAGAAACAACAGAGAAGGCAGGAGAAUAGAAAGAAAGAAGAGGAACUCCUCACAAUCCUGUUCUAUAAAAGUCAGGAUGAGGAUCCGAUUUACGAGGUUAAUGACGACGAAGGGGAAAUUUACCUUCGUUCGUACAGACGCAUAGAAGAAAAUGAUAACUGA
ensembl:lncRNA